rnacentral:piRNA from 1 species
GAGCAAAAUGGAGUUUCAAAGUGGUGGGA